GCAUGGCUAGAUUUAUGGUAGGAUCCUUUUACAUGAUCCUUUCAUAGUGUACUCCAUGCUAGAUUGAACUCUACUCCGAACCAUUGACAGGCUUUGAUUACUGUAGGUCUGAUUCACUGAAGUGGGUAGCACAGAU